rnacentral:rRNA from 2 species
GGACUACCGGGGUAUCUAAUCCUGUUUGCUCCCCACGCUUUCGUGCAUGAGCGUCAGUCUUGACCCAGGGGGCUGCCUUCGCCAUCGGUGUUCCUCCACAUCUCUACGCAUUUCACUGCUACACGUGGAAUUCUACCCCCCUCUGCCAGACUCCAGCCUUGCAGUCUCCAACGCAAUUCCCAGGUUAAGCCCGGGGAUUUCACGUCAGACUUACAAAACCGCCUGCGCACGCUUUACGCCCAGUAAUUCCGAUUAACGCUUGCACCCUACGUAUUACCGCGGCUGCUGGCAC